GUGAGAAAAUGAGAUGAAAUUCAAAGCGUGCAAUGAUCAGCCGCCCAAAAGCGCGGGGUGGCUACGUAUGAGCCAGCUGGACAACUCAGCCAGCCAGGUCACAGUUUCUUCCACGUGGGGUCCACCUCCACCUCCACCCGCAUCGCAUUCAUCUCUGAUCACUCUCCACUUUCGACGCCACCACUCCACGGACCCUCACACGCAACUUCACGAUGCAGGACCUUCCCGAAAACGACGACAUUCAAGAUCAAGUUUCCGAUUCGCUUCAACUUCAACCCGAACCGGACCCUCCAAAACCCACCAAGCUCUCAGAAGGAGACCACAUCCACGUCGGUGCUCACCCUUUCAUGAUGGACGUCUUGCGCAAACAAGGGGAUCAAGCGGUUCUGUUUGCCGAUAAGGUUUUGAAGGUCACGGGAUCGGGGAAGAUGAAGAGCCGCAUUCUUAUAGCAACCGAUUUCGCGAUCUACAUUUUCGAUCUGGAGACCAAUUCGCUGAAGCGGAGGAUAGCUCUUGCGGCGGUUGAUAAGAUAUGUAUGAGUGAACUGAUCGACCACUUCUUCGUCGUUGUAAUCCCGACGGAGUAUGAUUUACUGCUUGUUAGCACUCGCAAGAGCGAAAUCAUCACUGCCUUUGUUGAAGCCACCAUAAAAGCUUCUGAUUAUGAACUCGAAGUUGUUUCUUCCAAUAAGUUUGAGUAUAAUGCAGCAGCUGACUUGGUGAAGGAACUUGAAUUUGAAGAAGUUGAAGGGGGUGUGAAAACAAGAAUUUUUAGGAAGUGAAUUGUGGUUUGCAUUUUCCUUAGGAUGUCUGUAAACUUAGUAGGGCAUACUUACAGCUAAAAAUGCAAGCAUUAGCUGCUCACCCCGCUAUAUCUGUUCUGCUUUUUUCUUUUACAUAGACGUUGGCAUUUUGGUAGUCUAGUACUACCCACUAUGUUGAUGUUAAAUUCACCUCAGUUUGUGAUCUCCCCACCCCAUAGCAGAGUUUUAGUUUUCAUUGGCCUGAUAUCAUCUGUGAAGUUGCAACUUGCAAACGCGGUUGAUAUAUGCUGAAGUGAAAUCUGAAGUGACUGGAAACAAAGCCUUUACAAACAGUAUACACGGGGAUGAAAGUAAAAUUAAUAUUAUUCGUUGUAGGAUCCACUGUUGAGACAUGUACCUAUUCAUGUUACUUUGAAAAAUUCAGAAUAUAUAACUAAUAGCAUAAUUUUUGA